AACGAACGCUGGCGGCAUGCCUAACACAUGCAAGUCGAACGAGACCUUCGGGUCUAGUGGCGCACGGGUGCGUAACGCGUGGGAACCUGCCCUUAGGUUCGGAAUAACUCCCCGAAAGGGGUGCUAAUACCGGAUAAUGUCUUCGGACCAAAGAUUUAUCGCCUUUGGAUGGGCCCGCGUUGGAUUAGCUAGUUGGUAGGGUAAAAGCCUACCAAGGCGACGAUCCAUAGCUGGUCUGAGAGGAUGAUCAGCCACACUGGGACUGAGACACGGCCCAGACUCCUACGGGAAGCAGCAGUGGGGAAUAUUGGACAAUGGGCGAAAGCCUGAUCCAGCAAUGCCGCGUGAGUGAUGAAGGCCUUAGGGUUGUAAAGCUCUUUUACCCGGGGUGAUAAUGACAGUACCGGGAGAAUAAGCUCCGGCUAACUCCGUG
rnacentral:rRNA from 1 species